rnacentral:rRNA from 1 species
CGUAGGUAACCUGCCUGGUAGCGGGGGAUAACUAUUGGAAACGAUAGCUAAUACCGCAUAAAAUUGAUUAUUGCAUGAUAAUUAAUUGAAAGAUGCAAUUGCAUCACUACCAGAUGGACCUGCGUUGUAUUAGCUAGUUGGUGAGGUAACGGCUCACCAAGGCGACGAUACAUAGCCGACCUGAGAGGGUGAUCGGCCACACUGGGACUGAGACAAGGCCCAG